AACUGCUGCAACUGAAAAUAUAUUAAAUAUAUUGUCAGGAAGGAGGCGGGGAAGGGUGCGGGGAGAAUAUCUGUCUACUCAGCGAACAGCAUUGUGAAAAAGACAGCCAAGUUUAGUGCCUGGAAUGAUUGCAUUCUGGAUAUCCAUGAGCCCUGGUCAAAACUUCAGAGGAAUAAUUUGAUGGGAAAAUGAACAGACUGUCUCAGUUCUGUAAAGACUUUGCUUUGACCAUCAGCAUCAGAAAGAUAAAUAGCCUGAUCAGAUGUUGUUAUGCCACUAUCAUCCAUCAGCAAUGUCACUUUGAUACUAAAUUUUAUUGAUAGCUUCCCUUAUCUAGGCUCCACAAUCACUGGCAUUUCUCACUGAAUGCUGAAAUUCUAGUGAUUGUGAUGAGGUCAGCCAGCUGGACCUCAUAGGAUAUAAAUUCCCUGAUUGGUGUGGUUAAU